AUACUGGUAGAAAAUUGACACAUUUAGAGACUAAAUGAGUAGAUACAAAGCAGGUGUGCUGAUUAGGAAAUUGCAAGCAGGUGUUUAGGGACAACAGAAAAGACCAACAGAGACAGUCUUAGGAAAUGCCAUGCAGUCAGAAUUUGAACAUAAAGAAACAAACAUAAUCAGAUCAUAAAAACAAAAACCUUGAGGAGCAUAAAAUUUAUCUUCAAGAUCAUCUGACACCUUUCAACAUCUCUGGAGUAGCGCGGAGAAUGUUUGUGCUCAUGGGAAUCCAACUGGGCUCUAAGGGUGUCAUGAAACAGUUUGCCAGGACCUCCACCUGGACUACAGCAGGAAGAUGAACACUCCUGGCCCCCAUCUGCCCACCAGUUCACCACUGGAACGUUUCUCUGGCCCUGUCGUUCUCUUGGCCUCAUCUUCUCCGACUGAUGAUCAGCCAGAUAACAUUAUCUCUGGACCAAUCUGGUGCCUGGAUCCAUACCCCAUCCCACAGGCCUCGGGUUUAUUGGAGAACAUUAGGAAACAAAAGGCAUCAUGAAGACCAAAGAACACGCCAGAUGGGUCAGGGAGAAUGUUGUGGAGAUGUUUAAAGCAGAGAACUGCAUUUCAGAAGAGCUUUAUCAAGGAAACACAUUCAUUAGCCUAAAGAAAUGUUAUCAUGAGGUUGGUGUAAAAAAUGUCAGCAGUUUAAAAGAAAAUCCACUUAAAUCUACAUGGAUUAAAACAUUGCUUGAUUAAAAGCCAUUAAAAAUGUACCCAUCUGUUAUCCAUCUGCAUUUUUGUAACAAAGCAGCACAUGUUUUAUAGGAAAGUAAAGAAACAAUCCUUUUUGUAAAGUAAUAAAGUUAAAUAUAAAGUUAAAAUUCAUACUGGAUUCCAUUAGUGGGACAUGGUCAGCAAAUAGAGAUUAUGUUCUAACUCACUAA